GACGAACGCUGGCGGCGUGCUUAACACAUGCAAGUCGAACGAAGAGCGAUGGAAGCUUGCUUCUAUCAAUCUUAGUGGCGAACGGGUGAGUAACGCGUAAUCAACCUGCCCUUCAGAGGGGGACAACAGUUGGAAACGACUGCUAAUACCGCAUACGAUCUAAACUCGGCAUCGAGGAUAGAUGAAAGGUGGCCUCCACAUGUAAGCUAUCACCGAAGGAGGGGAUUGCGUCUGAUUAGCUAGUUGGAGGGGUAACGGCCCACCAAGGCGAUGAUCAGUAGCCGGUCUGAGAGGAUGAACGGCCACAUUGGGACUGAGACACGGCCCAGACUCCUACGGGAGGCAGCAGUGGGGAAUCUUCCGCAAUGGACGAAAGUCUGACGGAGCAACGCCGCGUGAGUGAUGACGGCCUUCGGGUUGUAAAGCUCUGUUAAUCGGGACGAAAGGCCUUCUUGCGAAUAGUGAGAAGGAUUGACGGUACCGGAAUAGAAAGCCACGGCUAACUACGUGCCAGCAGCCGCGGUAAUACGUAGGUGGCAAGCGUUGUCCGGAAUUAUUGGGCGUAAAGCGCGCGCAGGCGGAUAGGUCAGUCUGUCUUAAAAGUUCGGGGCUUAACCCCGUGAUGGGAUGGAAACUGCCAAUCUAGAGUAUCGGAGAGGAAAGUGGAAUUCCUAGUGUAGCGGUGAAAUGCGUAGAUAUUAGGAAGAACACCAGUGGCGAAGGCGACUUUCUGGACGAAAACUGACGCUGAGGCGCGAAAGCCAGGGGAGCGAACGGGAUUAGAUACCCCGGUAGUCCUGGCCGUAAACGAUGGGUACUAGGUGUAGGAGGUAUCGACCCCUUCUGUGCCGGAGUUAACGCAAUAAGUACCCCGCCUGGGGAGUACGACCGCAAGGUUGAAACUCAAAGGAAUUGACGGGGGCCCGCACAAGCGGUGGAGUAUGUGGUUUAAUUCGACGCAACGCGAAGAACCUUACCAGGUCUUGACAUUGAUGGACAGAACUAGAGAUAGUUCCUCUUCUUCGGAAGCCAGAAAACAGGUGGUGCACGGUUGUCGUCAGCUCGUGUCGUGAGAUGUUGGGUUAAGUCCCGCAACGAGCGCAACCCCUAUCUUAUGUUGCCAGCACGUAAUGGUGGGAACUCAUGAGAGACUGCCGCAGACAAUGCGGAGGAAGGCGGGGAUGACGUCAAAUCAUCAUGCCCCUUAUGACCUGGGCUACACACGUACUACAAUGGGAGUUAAUAGACGGAAGCGAGAUCGCGAGAUGGAGCAAACCCGAGAAACACUCUCUCAGUUCGGACCGUAGGCUGCAACUCGCCUACGUGAAGUCGGAAUCGCUAGUAAUCGCAGGUCAGCAUACUGCGGUGAAUACGUUCCCGGGCCU
rnacentral:rRNA from 1 species